CAGUCGCCACGGUAAUACGUAGGGUGCGAGCGUUAAUCGGAAUUACUGGGCGUAAAGCGUGCGCAGGCGGGUUUUUAAGUCAGAGGUGAAAUCCCAAGGCUCAACCUUGGAACUGCCUUUGAUACUGGAAGUCUUGAGUCCGGGAGAGGUGAGUGGAACUGCGAGUGUAGAGGUGAAAUUCGUAGAUAUUCGCAAGAACACCAGUGGCGAAGGCGGCUCACUGGCCCGGUACUGACGCUGAGGCGCGAAAGCGUGGGGAGCAAACAGGAUUAGAGACCCGCGUAGUCCCUGUCUCUUAUAA
rnacentral:rRNA from 1 species